GAUGAAGAACGUAGCGAAAUGCGAUACUUGGUGUGAAUUGCAGAAUCCCGCGAACCAUCGAGUCUUUGAACGCAAGUUGCGCCCGAAGCCAUCAGGUUGAGGGCACGUCUGCCUGGGCGUCACAUAUCGUUGCCCAAUGCCUAUUGCAGUGCAAUAGGAAUUUCUAGGGCGAAUGAUGGCUUCCCGUGAGCGUUGUUGCCUCGCGGUUGGUUGAAAAUCGAGUCCUUGGUAGGGUGUGCCAUGGUAGAUGGUGGUCGAGUUAGAACGAUACCGAUCAUGUGCAUGCUCCCCAAAAUAUGGCCUCUAUGACCCACACGCGUCUUUUGACGCUCAUGACGAGACCUCAGGUCAGGCGGGGCUACCCGCUGAAUUUAAGCAUAUCAAUAGCGGAGGA
rnacentral:misc_RNA from 1 species